AUAAUAUUAUAGACAUCGACUUGAAGAAUGAAUGUAAUGCAAUAUACCAGACACAGGAAUUACUCUCAUUCCAUCUUUCAGUCUGUCAGAUUGCGCGAUAACCUUUCCAAACGGAAUGGAUGAGGAAGUUCGACAGUCUCUGCUAUUGGACUCUUGGAGAUUUGUUUUGCAUCAAGGCCUUCCCUGUGAUAUCCUCACUGCUACAGGGAAUUCAUACAAAGCCUGCUGGGAGCGUCACACAUUGUCUGCCCAUUGGCCAAGAACCUAGUGGUGCGUUAGUGAUGGUUGUUGUUUCUCAACUUACUGACCUUCAUGCAGUUUCCUUUACGCCACUGUAAAUGCUCAAGAGGGCUCACAACGGGGGAGAAAAAACAACAAAUACCUCAUGUAUGCUUUGGAAGACAAAUGCUGAUCUUUAAAACCGUCCACUCACUCAAUAAGCUCAAACAAGCAAGAAACCAAGAUGGGGGUCUCGGAAGGCCCCGCGGUAUUUGGAAUAGAGUAACGAUUGCCUUGCGACCUGACGUUCAGUCAAGAGACACUCAUGCACUGCACACUGGAUGUUUACAGCUCACUAGGCCUGCAGUCUGGGCCUGAUCGAUAUGCCCCUCUUUUUACGCUUCAGCUCUCAGCCGUCCACCCCGAAUGCCCGCAGACUGGACUUCAUGCUCCACCGAGAAAAGGCGCAUUCCAACAGGUCCUGUUUCUUCCGUGUCAUUGGGUGCCCAUCAGUGCUUCUGUCUGACAGAACAAAGCGGCAGGCGUCUCUCGGUCACCUUCCACGAUGGAGAAAUUCCUCUGUGGCAAAAAGGACAUAAGAAAAUAACCUAAUUUGUGGCACCGUGUUCAGGGUUACUAAAAAUACAUUAAGGCUUUUAUUUGCACUUCAGAAGGGUUGCGAUGAACCGCAGUGGCCUUGACUUCCACUGAAGACACUAAUGAAAGUUUUUUUUUUAUUAUUUUGGCCCACGGACAAAUGUAAUUUUUAGCUUUUUACAUCCAAGGCUAGUUUACUACUUGUAAAGCAAGUGAUUUCUAAGGUCCUAAUAUAAUGAAACUCAACAUAUGUGUCUAAAAAUGUGUCUUGAAAGAACAUUGAAACAAUGAAAUACAUAACCCUACACCAAUAAAGCCCUUGUGAACAA